CAGGCAGAACACUGUAAUAAAUAAAUCUUU
rnacentral:piRNA from 1 species